rnacentral:rRNA from 1 species
AUUGAACGCUGGCGGCAUGCCUUACACAUGCAAGUCGAACGGCAGCGCGGGCUUCGGCCUGGCGGCGAGUGGCGGACGGGUGAGUAAUGCAUCGGAACGUGCCCAGGAGUGGGGGAUAACGUAGCGAAAGUUACGCUAAUACCGCAUACGUACUGAGGUAGAAAGCGGGGGAUCGAAAGACCUCGCGCUCAUGGAGCGGCCGAUGUCGGAUUAGCUAGUUGGUGAGGUAAAAGCUCACCAAGGCGACGAUCCGUAGCUGGUCUGAGAGGACGACCAGCAACACGGGGACGGGGACACGGCCCAGACUCCUACGGGAGGGAGCAGUGGGGAGUCUUGGACAAUGGGGGAAACCCUGAUCCAGCAAUGCCGCGUGUGGGAUGAAGGCACUCGGGUUGUAAACCACUUUUGGCAGGAAAGAAAUCGCCUGUGCUAAUACCAUGGGCGGAUGACGGUACCUGCAGAAUAAGCACCGGCUAACUACGUGCCAGCCGCCGCGGUAA